ensembl:lncRNA
CUACCACCUGUCAAAGCUCCCAGCUGAUUCUAAUACCUUCUUCUAAUUACAACCUCUGUUACCAGAGCAAACAGUUAGGGUAGGUUGGCAGUGCUGAAGUCAAGCCUCCUGGGUAUUCAGUCCCCUCUAUUGGAGCACCUGCUUUGCAGCCAGACAGACUUCAUGUGGGGCUUUGAAGAGUGGAAUUUCACAGUGUAAAAAAAUAUCAGUGUAAAACCCAUUCAUCAGCCUGCAGCAACAAAUAGGAAUUUGAAUGGACGCUUGGUCAAGGUCUUUGGCCACUGUAUCUGUUAAUGUCUGUACUUCUGAGAUAGCUGCUGAAAAUGGUCCUCAAGUUGAAAAAUAAGAAAAGGCUUAAAGCUACAUGUGGAGGAAAAAAUCAUUCUGAAGAAUGAAACUUGAGACUAUCCCUCAGCAUCUUUUAAAAAUUUACCGGUAUGUCCCUUCUGAGUCAUGACUGACUUGUGUGCUGGGCAAGAAAAUGAACAAAUUCCAGAUGGUAAAUAUUGAGGAACCAGUUAGAGAUUAUUAAUGUAAAUGCUUCUAACAGAAUGAGUUUUAUUUACAAUAUUACUGUAGUUUUCUCAGGCUUACUAAUGCAAUUUUUUUUUUUUUUGGAUGAAACUAGCUGUGUUUGAAUACUUUUCUGUUUGGAAAUUCUUGCUCCCUGCUAUACCAGUGUCAGAAAUGAGUUCAUUGAUUAUAUUUAAUUUUGUGGGCUAUUUUGCUUGUUAAGGCAUUAUCUAGUGUAUACUUUCUUCAAUGGAGAGUUAUCAUAGAUGGUCAGUUAACUAAUUGCUGUUUUCACAUUCAAAUACAAACAAUAUAAGUAAGCUCCUUGAAAAAACUGAGGUGUUUUUUUUAUUUAAAAAUGGCAAACUUCUUCAGAAAUGUGUUAUCAUCUGUGGUACACAUCUGUAGCCUUAUUUAUUUCAUUCUGAAUACCAUGCAACUGAGUGGGGUCACAAUCUCUAGUAGAAAGCACAAUUGAGUAGAAUCUGACUCACUUUAGGCUACUUGUAGUAGCCUACUUUUACUCAUCCUAGUACUGUGAAAUCUCAACAUCUUUGUUUUAGCAGUAGCAUCAUUUCUAAGAGGAAAACUCCCACAACUGAAAAUUCCUGCUAUUGUGCUCUGUAUCUGUGGGUCGGUUAUGUUGAAAAUGUCUUAAAAGGAUGUAUGAAUUCAAGGUAAUAUUUUCCUAUGACUGUAGAUGUCAGCUUCACUCUGGUCACUUUUCAUUCCAGAGUUAAUUGAAAACAAUUCCAAUUUGUGAUAGUGAGUUAGAGACAUGAUUACAUAUUUCUGACUCUUCUUCUUUUUCUCUUUUCUCAUUAAUCUGAGAUCAGUAGCUGAACUCUGGGGAUGUUCAGCUCACAGAGCUCUAGGAAAUUCGGCAAUUAUACUUUAUUGUGAGACCCAG